AGCCCAAAUCGACCCGGAAGCAGAAUCCCCCAGAGUUCAAAAAACCGCACCACUCCUGCGACUCUGCCGCCAGGGGGCAGGAGACAGCAUGUUGGCUCGCACAUCCGACCCGACCUCAGGCGGCAGGCUCCGGAAGUGGAAGGGGCCGGCUCCGGAAGUGGAGGCGUCGGCCGUAAAAUUAUGGCAGUUACUUCUGUGUUUGUACGAAAAGCGAAACGUUUUCCUGCUCGGAGAGCGCGAUGGUUUACGUGCGGCGCUCGCGGGCAGAUUCCCGGGAAAGACGGCCGCGGCGAAGGUCGCGUGCUCCCCCGCAUCCCAAGGAAGCCACACCCAGCACCUUCCACUUCUACAGCACUACUACAACUGUCAACUGCCCAUCCAUCCCUGCAGGGACACAGAAAUGCAGCUGUCUCUCCAGCCUUACUGAUCAUCCUGAAGAACCCAGGCUUCCAGUAGAAGAACAAAUCAGAGUAGAUAGGCAAGCAGGUACAUCUGUCAAAAUAAUGCUUCAUUAAUAACAUCAGCCAAAUUUUCUAACUGGGUUUCUGAGAGCCUUUAAAAUUCCAGUGUUCAGCCAGGUGUGUUGGUGCAUGCCUGCAGUCCCAGCACUCGGCACACUUGAGACGGGAGGAUUGCUGCAAGUUUGAGGCCAGCCUGGGGUACAUAGUGAGACCCUGUCUCAAAAAUCAAAACCAAGCUGGGCGUGGUGGCACACACCUGUAAUCCCAGCACUCGGGAGGCUGAGGCAAGAGGAUCUCUGUGAGCUCAAGACCAGCCUGGGCUACAUAGUGAGUUCCAGGUCAGUCUCAACUACAUAGUGAGACCCUGUCUCAAAAAAUGAAACAAAACCAAAAAAUCAAAACCAGAUGGGCCGGGGAUUUAGCUCAAGUGGCACCACGCCUGCCUCUAAGCUUUCCAUCCCGAGUUUUAAAAAAAGCAAAAAAACAGUAGGACAUGCUAGUGUAUGCCUAUAAUCCCAUCCCUGGGGAGGCUGAGAGUUUGAGGCCAUCUUGUAUCAGAGACCCCUGCAUUGGGAUUCAAUCUCCUGCUCAGUGCUAUGAUGCAAAGUUUAAAGAAAAACUCAGAGGCCGGGGAUUUAGCUUAGUGGCACCACCUUGCAAGUACUGAGUUCAAUCCCUGGUAGCAAAAAAAGAAGAAGAAAAAGAAAAACUCAAAGACACAAAGAGACAGAGAAAUGGGGAGCCAGGACAGCCAGAGCUGAGCAACCAGCAAAGACCCUGGCCAGUCCAUGCCACUGCUAUUUAUUGAUGACAUCAUGAUCAGAUUAGGGUAAAGGGGCUGCUAAGGGGAUGUGUAGUUGCUAUGGACAUGUUACUGAUGUUGGCAAGGCUUGGAAAAGACAAAGCAUUCUUUUUUUUUUCUUUUUUUUUUUUUUUGGUUUUUUGAGACAGGGUCUCACUACGUAGUCAAGACUGACCUGGAACUCACUGUGUAGCCCAGGCUGGUCUCGAACUCACAGCGAUCCAACUGCCUCAGCCUCCGGAGUGCUGGGAUUACAGGCGUGCGCCACCACACCCGGCCGACAAAGCAUUCUUGAUUUAGGAACAGAACAGAUGCCACCACCUGCCUCACAAGCACAAGGUCCUGAGUUCAAUCCCCGAUACUGAAAGAAAAAAAGUGACAAAUCACAGGAAGAGAACAGACAAAAUACAGGGUUACAGUUAGCAAAUAACCUUGUGCUUCUAGUUAAGAAGGUUUUAAUUGCGGCACAGAAUUUGGAUGCAAGUUACCCUGACCUCAGCUCCUGUGUUGUCUGACAUUGAGCCCCACAGCUUCACAGACUGUCUCUCCAGUCUCUGCUGUGGCCUUUGGCAGAGAGGUUAUGGUAACCUGUGCACCUGAUUCUCAUAGGCUUCAGUUGGACUACUUCUUAAAAUGAGCCAAUGGCCGGGCGUGGUGGUGCAAGCCUGUAAUCUCAGCACUCGGGAGGCUGAGGCAGGAGGAUCGCUGUGAGUUCCAGACCAGCCUGGGCUACACAGUGAGUUACAGGUCAGUCUGAACUACAUAGUGAGACCCUGUCUCAACCCCCCAAAACUGAGCCAAUUGUGGGGUUAACUCCAUACAGCCUGCUUGGGGCAUACUCAGUGGAGCAGUCUCCCACCAGCCUGGGCUACCCAGUGAAUUCAAGGCCAGACUGAACUGCAUAGUGAGACCCUGUCUGAAAAAGCAAAACAAAACCAAGAAAUAAAGGGCUUGGGAUUUAGCUCAGUGGUUCUGCUGUCUGGCUUGCAGGCUCAAGGACCAGAGCUCUAUCCCUGGUACAAAAAAACAAGAAAUAAAAACAAGUAACAGCUUUUAAUUAAGUGACCUCCAUAAGAUAGCGUCAUUAUUCCUCAACUUUGAGUCUACAAAGUUUCUGGUUCUAUCAGGGAUUUAAGGGCUGGGGACUUAGCUCAGCGGUUUAGUGGCCUGCCUUGCAAGUGCAAGGACCUGAGUUCAAUCCCCAGUACCAAAAAAAAAAAAAAAAAAAAAAGUCCACAACAAUGGAUCAGGGAUUUAGUUCAGUAAUACCACACCUGCCUCACAAGCACAAAGUCCUGAGUUUAAUCACUAGUAUUGGGGGGAAAAAAGAGUUCCUGGCUGUUUUCAGCAUUUUUUUCUUUGCCAGGGACCUGGACUCUGGGAUCAGAAUCUUCAUGCUUAACAUGUUGAGAUAUUUCUGUCGUGUGUGUGUGUGUGUGUGUGUGUGUGUGUGUGUGUGUGUUUGCAUGCACACACAGGUGUAUGAUGUCCUUUAAGAUUUGAGACUAUAAAUCUGAGCAGCAGCAAAGCCACCGCUUUUCUCUUCCCAUUCAGCUUUUUUCUUUUUUUUUUUUUUUUUUUAGGCGGUCGAACUUGGGUCCUUGCACUUGCGAGGCAGGCCACCGAACCGCUGAGCUACAUCCCCGGCCCUCUCUUCCCAUUCAGCUUUGCAGCAGCCAGUUGGCACUGAGGUUGCUACAUGAGGAAGUCUCUACGCUGUGGCUGUGUUGCCUUUCUGCUGUGGUUAACUUCUUCUUCCUGGCCAAGGCUCACUGUUUACAAAGCUUAGAGCUUGG
ensembl:lincRNA